rnacentral:rRNA from 1 species
GACGAACGCUGGCGGCGUGCUUAACACAUGCAAGUCGAACGGAAAGGCUCCAGCUUGCUGGAGUACUCGAGUGGCGAACGGGUGAGUAACACGUGGGUGAUCUGCCCUGCACUUCGGGAUAAGCCUGGGAAACUGGGUCUAAUACCGGAUAGGACCGCACUUUGGUGUGUGUGGUGGAAAGGUUUUUCUGGUGUGGGAUGAGCUCGCGGCCUAUCAGUUUGUUGGUGGGGUAAUGGCCUACCAAGACGGCGACGGGUAGCCGGCCUGAGAGGGUGGACGGUCACAUUGGGACUGAGAUACGGCCCAGACUCCGACGGGAGGCAGCAGUGGGGAAUAUUGCACAAUGGGGGAAACCCUGAUGCAGCGACGCCGCGUGGGGGAUGAAGGCCUUCGGGUUGUAAACUCCUUUCGCUAGGGACGAAGCUUUUUGUGACGGUACCUGGAGAAGAAGCACCGGCUAACUACGUG